UUCGAAUGGUUUCAGCUACAAACUACUAAAAGCUGAGACUCGUGUCGUUGUUGAAUCAGAAUUAUUUAGGUGUAAGUGUGGUGGCUAUCUGCACCCUGUCCGGUCUGAAGGAGGAGAUGGAGAGGGCUGUGAGGGAGAUGGAGGCAGCGAGAACCAGGUGGUACCAGGCCCUGCUUCAGACCCUGCAGUGUCUAGCAAGGAAACAGACCAUUGGAGGCAAUAUCCUCAGUGCCAACCCAAAGUAUGAUCUCAAUAGUGUCCUAGCUGCAUUGGACUGCAUGCUACAGGUCCAGUCUACAGAAAAUGGGACAUGGGAGAUCCCUCUGAAUGAAGAUCUCUUCACUGGCAAGACAGAGCUUUGACCAGAUGAAGUCCUUCUGUCCAUUGACAUCCCUUACUCCAAACCAGCGAGGAAUAACUGCUUUACUCUCUCAUUCAAAUACCACUCUGGAUAUUGGUGAUGACCUUAGUUUAACUCAUAACUCCAAGCUCUUUCUGUUGUGAUAAUUAUUGUUACAUAUUAAGGUAAGCAUUAUAUUAUGGCUUACACUAUCAAAGAAGGUUAUAUCAAAACACUUCUAUUAAAAGUGAAACCAGACACUUUAUCCUGUCAAACCCUUCACUCUGGGCUGUACAAUCUAACUAGUAACCGAUCCUUAUUCCAUACAAUCAAAUCAAAUUAUAUUGGUCACAUACAUGGUUAGCAGAUGUUAUUGCGAGUGUAACAAAAGUGCAGCAAUAUUUAACAAGUAACAUCUAACAAUUCCCCAACCAAAUACCUAAUACAUACAAAUCUAUUGGUAUAGGAAUGGAAUAAGAAUAUAUAUAUAUAUCUGGAUGAGCAAUGACAGAGUGCAUAGGCUAAGAUGCAAAUGAUAGUAUAGAAUACAGUAUAUACAUAUGAGAUGAGUAAUGCAAGAUAUGUAAACAUUAUU